CUAAAUCAGAGGCACUUUUCUGGAGGUUAAGGCAAGUGUGACAUAGUGGAUAUUUCCCCCUGUCUUUGGAGUAGUUUAACCUUCAUCCUGUGCUUGAAGGGAAGUUCUCCUUUAAGUGUAGCUCCUCCCUCUAGUUCAGCCUUCAUCCUGAAGGGAAGUUCUCCUUUAAGCAUAGCUCCUCCCUCUCUGCUCCUGAUUGGUCUUGUCAGGCAUCAAUCCUUGUAGCGUGAGUGUUUAUUGAUACACCUGCCCUGUGCUGCCACCAGUGUGGCUCCCUUCUGGGCAACUGUCAGGCAGCCUCUCUCUGCUGAUCACCUAGGAGAAUGGCAGACCCUAUGAGACUGGGCGCUCUGCUGCUCCUGGUCGGCACUGCUCUUUGUGCACCUCUGGGUUCCGCGGUUGGUGAGUGGGCUCAUGAUGGUUCUUCAAAGCGGGAGAUGCCAGGAGAAUCCAAGGAGCCUCUACCAGGCUUGGCGGGCUCUGGAAUUGGGGGGAGAAGUGCGGGGCGGGACGCAGCUCCUUUGCCACAAAAUCUCAACUCCUCUUUUCAGGGCAUACCCCACCACCUCCUCCCGCAUCUGCAUGGGUGCUGCACCUUUUUUCCCUCCCUCCCCUCACAGCCUUGCCCUUCCUUUCGAACAGCCCGGUUCUUCCAAUGCCCUUGAGUCCCUUCUUUGCCUCCUGCUUUGAUCUUUGAGAGAGACUCAACUCCCUUAGAGGUCUGCCUUUCAUGGGAGCACUUUAUCAAAAUUGAUAGAUUUUGAGACAGUUUCCAGCCCCCCACCCCCAAGCCCUGUCCUCUUCCUGGAGUCAGCAGCGUGCUCCCACGGAGCGCUCAGUAUCUGGAGUUAGGGAUCUUCCUCUCUCCUUUCUGUUGCUAUGGGCACUGUGGUUUCUCUAGUCAGACUGAGGGAGCUUAGAAGCCAAGGACUUCUGGGCCAAGAGAUUCUUCUUGUGACUUCUCUCAUCUCCACCCUCAAGGUCCCUUGCUUUCCUGCAGCCUGGGGGGCGGGGUUUUCUCCCUCCUGCACCCUAAUAUGAACUCCAUUGUUCCCACCACAUCUCUCCGUGCCUCCUCAGCUGCCUGUCUCACACCUGUCACCCAGUCCAGUUGCCCUCCCCCUCCCUGCUCUCC
rnacentral:lncRNA from 1 species